ensembl:rRNA 5S_rRNA 5S ribosomal RNA
GCCAGCAGCCAUGUCACCCUGCAACUCACAACUGGCAACCCACUGAAGCUAAGCAGGUGUGAGCCUGGUCAGUACCUGGAUGUGAGACCUCCUGGGAAAAACUAAGGUUGCUGCUGGAA